rnacentral:rRNA from 1 species
UACGUAGGGCGCAAGCGUUGUUCGGAAUUACUGGGCGUAAAGCGCACGUAGGCGGACUGUUAAGUCAGGGGUGAAAUCCUGGAGCUCAACUCCAGAACUGCCUUUGAUACUGAUGGUCUCGAGUCCGGAAGAGGUGAGUGGAAUUCCGAGUGUAGAGGUGAAAUUCGUAGAUAUUCGGAGGAACACCAGUGGCGAAGGCGGCUCACUGGUCCGGUACUGACGCUGAGGUGCGAAAGCGUGGGGAGCAAACAGG